rnacentral:rRNA from 1 species
AGCAGUGGGGAAUAUUGCACAAUGGGCGCUAAGCCUGAUGCAGCCAUGCCGCGUGUAUGAAGAAGGCCUUCGGGUUGUAAAGUACUUUCAGCAGUGAGGAAGGUGGGUAUGUUAAUAGCAUAUUCAUUUGACGUUAGCUGCAGAAGAAGCACCGGCUAACUCCGUGCCAGCAGCCGCGGUAAUACGGAGGGUGCGAGCGUUAAUCGGAAUUACUGGGCGUAAAGCGCAUGCAGGUGGUUGUUAAGUCAGAUGUGAAAGCCCGGGGCUCAACCUCGGAAUUGCAUUUGAAACUGGCAAACUAGAGUACUGUAGAGGGGGUAGAAUUUCAGGUGUAGCGGUGAAAAUGCGUAGAGAUCUGAAGGAAUACCGGUGGCGAAGGCGGCCCCCUGGACAGAUACUGACACUCAGAUGCGAAAGCGUGGGGAGCAAACAGGAUUAGAUACCCCGGUAG